rnacentral:lncRNA from 1 species
AAACUUUUUGUUAUAUUCAAGCCUUAGUAGAUUCUAAUGACUUGUGACACCUCGAUGUUGAGCCGUGUAUUUAUUCUGCAUUGUUCAUUUAGACUUACAUAUGAUAUAUCUGAUUAAUUAAAGGCUUAAAAAUGAUUGUCUUUGUUUUACAUGGGUAAUUCGGGAGUUGUGUCGGCUGGCCUAGUUUCACGAUAGGUGCCAACACGACCUGGACGAUUUUAGGAUCGUGACAGAAUACCAGUUCACGACGGACUUGAAUUGCUUUUCUAAUUUCCCCGAAGUACUCCAAAUAGCCCUUUAAACAGUAAAAGCAACCAAUCGAGUACCCUAUACUCGAGUAUAUCUCACUACUUCAAAUUUUAAUCAAUACAUGACUUAUUUAAGAUGAAAACUCAAACUAAAAUCGUGCUCAAAGGAAGAUAAGAUCAAGCUUAACAAAUCAUUCAAUGAACCGACUAACCCGGUGAAUUAAACAAUCCAAAAAUUUGAAUUGAAUCCAUCAUUUGUAGUCGCGACUAACUUAAUAUUCAAACAAAAGACAAAACAAUAGACCGGCUAGGCCGAGGAACAAAUAUCCAAGAGUAAUAAGCACGAGCAAACAAACAAUCGACCGGCUAGGUCAAUAAAACUAAAACUUUAGCAAGAACAAAUGCAUAUGACAUAGUCGACCACCUAGGUCGAAGAACCAAAAAUCAAAACUGAUGAACUAUAUAUGAGCUAAUCGACCAGCAAGGUCGAAAAAGCUAAUUUAAAGAUAUGAAGAAAUAUAUGAUUCCAGAAUAACAACGAAUUACUAAAAUAACAUUCACUAAUAAUACGACUAAGAGAAUCAUGACUACGAUUAAUCCCUAAACCUAAUGAAAAAUAUACACGGAAAAUCAGAGAAGAAGAAGAGGGAAGAAAGAAGAAAGAAGAAAAAAGGAAAGAGAGAAUAGGGUUAUACCAAACGAUGGAAGCCGAUGCCAAAGACAACGAGCUCUUAUGCUAUGAACUAACAAGCGAUCCACAACUAACAUUACAAUAGUUUAGUUAACCUAUAAAUGCUACUACCAAAAUUAUAAAGAUUAAACCUUAAAAUUAGAUUCGAAGCACAAGUUGAAAAUUAGAAACGAGAAAGGGGAGACAAAUUGAAGAUUUACCAACAACUCGAGCACACAGGCAGUAAUGAGACAAAGGCAGCGAUAGUGGUGAUUCAACCCGGGCAUGAUUUUAUUGUUGAUUGAUACCAAACUACUAAAUACGGUAAGUUGAAUCUCGAUUUCAGUAUAAUCGACAAUAAAAUCAUGUCCGAGUCGAUUGGAGGCAAGAACGGAAGAGCACUGGAGGCAUUGGCGAGGGGCAGUGGGGAUCGCCGAAAUUUUGUUUGCUGGAAUUUCGGGUUAAGACCAAUGCCAAAUGAUAGCCCUUGUCAAGCUCUAUAUAUGUAUGUAAAUAUUAGGUGGAAAGGGUGGCUCAAUCAUCCCGAAUUUGUGAAAAACAAGCUGUAGCUAGGGUUUCUUAAGAUCUAAAUCUCGUGGGUUUUGAGGGGUUUUUAGGGAAUUUAGCUUGGAGAUUCGGAAACUGGGGGUUAAGGAGAGCAUAGGGUGAAAAAAUGGGGCCGAUUGGACUACCACCAACGGCGGCGCACGGUGGUGCCAGCGGUGGUGGCUUUGAGAGAGGGUGAGAGAGAGAGAUGGAGGAGGCUAGGGUUUGUAUCAUGUGAAAAAAUGG